rnacentral:rRNA from 1 species
UACGAAGGGGGCUAGCGUUGCUCGGAAUCACUGGGCGUAAAGGGUGCGUAGGCGGCGGGGCAAGUCGGAUGUGAAAUCUCAGGGCUCAACCCUGAAACUGCAUUCGAUACUGCCUUGCUCGAGGACUGGAGAGGAGAUUGGAAUUCACGGUGUAGCAGUGAAAUGCGUAGAUAUCGUGAGGAAGACCAGUGGCGAAGGCGGAUCUCUGGACAGUUCCUGACGCUGAGGCACGAAGGCCAGGGGAGCAAACGGG